rnacentral:rRNA from 1 species
AUUGAACGCUGGCGGCAGGCUUAACACAUGCAAGUCGAGCGGGGGAAGGUAGCUUGCUACCGGACCUAGCGGCGGACGGGUGAGUAAUGCUUAGGAAUCUGCCUAUUAGUGGGGGACAACAUCUCGAAAGGGAUGCUAAUACCGCAUACGUCCUACGGGAGAAAGCAGGGGAUCUUCGGACCUUGCGCUAAUAGAUGAGCCUAAGUCGGAUUAGCUAGUUGGUGGGGUAAAGGCCUACCAAGGCGACGAUCUGUAGCGGGUCUGAGAGGAUGAUCCGCCACACUGGGGCUGGAACACGGCCCAGACUCCGUCGGGAGGCAGCAGUGGGGAAGAUUAGACAAUGGGGGGAACCCUGAUCCAGCCAUGCCGCGUGUGUGAAGAAGGCCUUAUGGUUGUAAAGCACUUUAAGCGAGGAGGAGGCUACUUUAGUUAAUACCUAGAGAUAGUGGACGUUACUCGCAGAAUAAGCACCGGCUAACUCUGUGCCAGCAGCCGCAGUAA